CAAGCUCUAAGUAAGUUGCCCAUAUACUGAACUUCCACGUUUUACUUUCUGGAGUUGAGGUGCAGCAGCAUCAUAUUAUUCAGUCUGUUCCUAUUCCUUGAUCAUGAUUCCAAAUAGCUUACAUUACUUGCCAGGUUAGUAAAAAUGAAAACAAUCUAACAAGAGGAAUUUGUUCACAAAGGAGGAAUGCUAAUUAAUAUUUGUUGACAAUAAGUUACUGCUCGGCUCAAUAAAAUGCAGUCUCUUUUCUUUCUUUCUUUCUUUUUAUUCUGCACAAAGUAAUAUAUUCUAAUCACAGAUAGUCUUAGGAAAAUUUCCAUACAAGUUGCAGUUUCGUCUAUAUUUUAUAGCACUGAGGGUUCUUAACAGACAUUCUUUAUCUGCAGUGACAUGGAAUGUGACCUGCACAUAUUCCCAAUUUCUUGCUCAGAAGACUCCAUCCUGCUGUGUAUCUCUCUCAUCAUUUUAUAAUGACACAAUUGUGAACUGCCCGACAUGCUCAUGUGGCUGCCAGAACCCAAGUGGGUCAAACUGUGUGAAGUGAGUUUAUCAGCUCUUAAUUCAUGUCAUAUUGGGGUUCUAUUUUUUAUUUGCAAUUUUUCUAAUGAAUUUAUUGCAUUUUUCAGCGAGGAUUCACCUAAUCUACAAGCCGCAAUUGAUGGUCCUGGUAAAUGGACUGGCCAGCCUCUUGUACAAUGCACUUCUCACAUGUGCCCAAUAAGAAUCCACUGGCAUGUGAAGCUCAACUACAAGGAAUACUGGAGAGUGAAAAUCACUAUCACGAACUUCAACUUCCGCAUGAAUUACACACAGUGGAACUUAGUUGCUCAGCAUCCAAACUUUGAUAAUAUCACUCAGUUGUUCAGCUUCAACUACAAACCACUUACUCCAUAUGGGGGUGGCAUAAGUAAGUAAACUUGUCUUAUAGAAAAGAAUAGAAAUAAACCAACCUACCUCCCAACCUCUCCUGAUGUAGUUUGUCUGUCCCGUUUCAGAUGAUACGGCAAUGUUCUGGGGUGUAAAGUUCUACAAUGAUUUGCUGAUGCAAGCCGGCAAACUUGGGAAUGUGCAAUCAGAACUGCUUCUCCGCAAGGACUCACGGACUUUCACAUUCGAAAAGGGAUGGGCCUUCCCACGCCGAGUGUACUUCAAUGGUGAUAAUUGUGUCAUGCCAUCUCCUGAAAAUUAUCCAUGGCUGCCGAAUGCAAGCCCUCUAACAAAACAAGCAUUGACACUCCCACUCUUGAUAUUCUGGGUUGCCUUGGCUGUUCUGUUGGCUUAUGCAUGAUGAGUGGGAUCAAGAUGUUUAGCAAGCUUCAAGUUGAUGUCGGAUUCCAUGAGGUGCACUGCAACGGGAUAUUUAUUCAUUCAAUUCCAUAGCGGCACAGGAGAGAUGAGGCGAAGCCAAGAAAAAGUGGAUGUGUGUGUGUGUGUGUUUGUAAGUUAAAGGGCCAAAAUGUAUUUCUUGUCUGGUAGUAUAUAGCAGCUCUACAACACUUUGGUGAACUUAGUUACUGCAAAUUAGGCAAUUACAGUUGCACCUUUUGUAUUUUAUAGCAAACCCAGACUUCUAUUGGAUUCUAUGACUGCCCCUCUUGUAGUAAACGCAAGGCUUCACUGGUACUCCUGUUUAAAGAUUGGUCAAAUAGAAGAGACGACGGUGAUUGUCUGAUUGAGAUAACUAAGUUCUGGUGUCUUGAUCCAUUUGACCAUUCUGCUGCAAAGAUUAUUGAGCUAAAUUGCUAAUAACAAGUGUUAACUGUUGACUGAACCAAAAUUACGUGUGCAAAAGAAACAACGAACCACAAUAAGACUGUCUGCAGUAGAUAAGAUAAAGGAGACGCAGGCACUGUUUACAUAGUAGAGUUUAAAAUAUUACAAUUAUAUGUCUCAUGUUUUACUCUGUUUAUUAUAGAUAGUCUGAGUCCGGCAGCGGGUACCGGAAACGUGUCGUGGAUGCGUAUUAUUCGCGGCGUGUGGCCCUGUGGAUGCAUCCAGCAGGUGAGGCCAUGGACGUGCCUGCUAUAGAAAGAGAGUGCGGUAACAUCCGCAUCCUCUCUCCUCUGUCCAUUCACAUCUUCCCUGUUUUCGUCGGUACAGACAUGCUGACGCGCAGUCCGAAUACGGUAGCUACUGGAUGACGGGCCUCCUAUCCGCGCUCGCUGAUGGGUCCCACUGCAGAACGAGGUGUUUUCCGCGUUGGGGCUGUCUCCACCAAGGGCCCUAAUGCCGACUCCAGCAAGAAUCGCUGCAUGGUUCUGAACCUCAGCUAAAAUAGAGUACGAGCAGCGCAUGCAACGAUACGAUUCUUGUUUCGCUAUUAUUUAUUAAGAGAAUAUAGUAUGUUAAUAUAGUUGGUAUAUUAUAGAGGAUAAAAUUUAGAAUACGCUGCUGGAGAUGGUAAAGAUAUAGAAGACGAUUUUUUUAGAGUGAACUGUAAAAACAAAGAAUUUUCCUUUAAAAGAUGAAAUUUAGAGAACGUUGAUGGAGAUAGCCGAAAGCGUCAUUUACUCUAAAUAUAGAGGAUCCUCUAGACUCUCCAGCAGCAUUUAAACGGUCAUCUAAAUUUAUAGGUCGUUGCUACACUCUCUCUCUCUCUAUAUAUAUAUAGUUUCUCUAAACGAUCCUCUAUUUAUUUGAAUACUAUAAAUAACCGUUUUACCAAAACUAAAAUAUGUACAAUAUAUUUUAGAGCAUGACAAAUACGUAGGUAUAAAAAAUAAAAAUGUUUGUAAUAUAGGUAUUUAAGUAUAGAUGACGUGAUUUAGAAAACGUUGUUGGAGAUGAAAAAGAUAUAGAUGAUAAAAUCUUUUAGAGAAGACCGUAAAUAAUGGAUAUAAAGGAUAUUGCUGAAGACAACCUUUAUCUUAUCUUUAGCAGGUUGUAUAUACGACCCCGGAUGCAGAAAAUGAGUAAGAAAUCGAUAUUGUUCACGUGUCCAGCAGCUCGCGUACGCGGUCGCACAAAAACCACACCCCACAUCGACGUGCAUAUCUUCGAGCUCUCGCGGUCGCGCACAGUCCAAGCCACGUCCUCCAUUUUUGUGUCCAAGGCCUGCUGAACGGAUGCACAAUCAUUUUGCGCAAUCUGCUGGAAACGAACUCCUUUUUGCGCGACGUAGUGGACUCAUAAAUUGCUAGUAUCCGCAACCGCGCAACAGCACAACCAUUUUGCAUGUUGUCACAUAAUAACAGCUUACGGAGCAACACUGUGAUCCUCUGAGAAGGACAAAAUGAGGUUUUGCUGAUUGUUGUGCGCUACGGCCUUGUUGGAAAAUGUCCUGACGGGUGCUACAUAGGGGGUGUUUGGUUAGAGAUAGGGGGUGUUUGGUUAGAGGGACUAAAGAUUAGUCUCUAGUUUUUAGUCCCAUUUAGUCCCUUUUUUUCCAAACACUAGGACUAAAAUAUGGACUAAAAUGAUUUAGUCUUUAGUCCUUCACAUAGGUGCUAAAAGAGACUAAAAGCCCAUAAUUAUCAUGUUGCCCUUACCUUUUUUAUAGAUAACUAAUAUUGUGAGUAUAUUCUAAGGGUAUUUGAGUCUUUGGACAAUGUAUUUAAUGACUUUAGAAUCUAUUUAGUCCCUAGAACCAAACAUGUAGGGACUAAAGUUUAGUCCUAGGACUAAAGUUUAGUCCUAGGACUAAUUGAAACCAAACAUGGCCAUAGUCUGACCAUUUUUAUGAAGCACGCAACAUAUGUCCUUUAAUAAAACUAGAUCACAUAUUUUUACAUUUGAUACUGAAGCUCUAGUCUGGAGAGUAAAAUAAGUAGAGAAAGACAGAUUUGAUAAUUGGUCAAACCAGAGUAACCUGCUCCAUUUAAACUAAAAACGGAACCGCAACAAUGAAAUAUGCAUUACUGCAACUACAUUACAAUAAAGCAACUUACCUUAGAUUGCAUGAAGGAUCAAACUGUUUGUUCCUAACCAUCCACCAACCACCACGAAGAGAAAUACCAGGUCUUCAUGGUGCUGCUGCUCAAGCGUCCGAGGUCAGAGCAGGGUAUAUGGCACCCAUGGCCUGGUAUAUAUAUAUCCAUAAGAAAUGUAGUGCAGUCGAAGCAUGGGCUGAUGGG
rnacentral:lncRNA from 1 species